rnacentral:tRNA from 1 species
GCCGAAGUGGCGGAACUGGCAGACGCACAGGACUUAAAAUCCUGCGGGGUUAACCCCCCGUACCGGUUCGAUUCCGGUCUUCGGCACCA